UGCAGAAUCCCGUGAACCAUCGAGUCUUUGAACGCAAGUUGCGCCCGAGGGACCAUCCCGAGGGCACGCCUGCCUGGGCGUUAGAAGCCCAUCCACGCUCGGCGCACGCCCGAUGCGGACAAUGGCCCUCCGAGCCGCGAGGCGCGACGGGCACAAGUGCAUGGCCGUUGGUUGAGGCCGGGAGCGGCGAGUGGUGGGCUAACUGCGCACGCUGCCUCCGAACCUCACGUCGACUCAAGGCCUAGUCGGACCUCGAAACGAGGAGCACGUCGCCUAGCGCGGCAGAGCCUCGGACCGAUACCCCAGGUCAGGCGUGGCCACCCGCUGAGUUUAAGCAUAUAAAUAAGCGGAGGAGAAGAAACUUACAAGGAUUCCCCUAGUAACGGCGAGCGAACCGGGAGCAGCCCAGCCUUAGAAUCGCGACGGCUCCGCCGUCCGA
rnacentral:rRNA from 1 species